GACGAACGCUGGCGGCGUGCCUAAUACAUGCAAGUAGAACGCUGAAGGAGGAGCUUGCUUCUCUGGAUGAGUUGCGAACGGGUGAGUAACGCGUAGGUAACCUGCCUGGUAGCGGGGGAUAACUAUUGGAAACGAUAGCUAAUACCGCAUAAUAGCAGUUAUUGCAUGAUAACUGUUUGAAAGGUGCAAUUGCACCACUACCAGAUGGACCUGCGUUGUAUUAGCUAGUUGGUGGGGUAACGGCUCACCAAGGCGACGAUACAUAGCCGACCUGAGAGGGUGAUCGGCCACACUGGGACUGAGACACGGCCCAGACUCCUACGGGAGGCAGCAGUAGGGAAUCUUCGGCAAUGGACGGAAGUCUGACCGAGCAACGCCGCGUGAGUGAAGAAGGUUUUCGGAUCGUAAAGCUCUGUUGUAAAGAGAAAGAAAC
rnacentral:rRNA from 1 species